rnacentral:lncRNA from 10 species
GUGCAAUCUCGGCUCACUGCAACCUCACUGCUCAAGCAAUCAUCUCACCGCAGCCUCCCAAGUAGAUGGGAUUACAGAUGUGUGCCACAAUGCCCGGCUAAUUCUUUUGUUGUUUGUUUUGUCUUGUUUUUAGAAACAGCGUCUCAGUAUGUUGCUCAGGCUGUUCUUGAACUCCUGGGCUCAAAUCAUCUCCCACCUCAGCCUCCCAAACUGCUGGGUUUACAGGCAUGACCAACUGCACCCAGGUGAGAAAUUUAAAAUACUUUUGCUGAAAUCAAGGUGUCAGGAGGCUGGUUUCUUCUACAGGCUCCAGGGGAGUAUCCAUUACCUGCUGCCUUCAGAUUUCAGAUGCUUAUAGCAUUCCUUGGCUCCUGUUUGUGUCAUUUUAAUCAUUUUAUCAUUGUUUCUGUUGUCACAUAUUUCUCCACACCUUUUUUCCUCUCUCUGAUUUCCUGCCUCCCUCUUAUAAGAACCCCUGUGAUUACAUCAGGCCCACCAGAUAAUCCAAGAUGAUGUACCCAGCUAAAAAUCAUUAAUUUAAUCACAUCUACAAAGUUUAAUUUUCCAGAUAAAGUAACAUCACAGGUUCUAGGGAUUAGGACAUGGACAUCUUUGGAAAGAAGGGAAGGCAUUACUCAGUCUACCAUGUUUCACAUAUCAGUAGUGAAUUCCUUUUCAUUGUUGAGUAAUAUGUAUUAUUGCAUAGAUUUAUCUCAAUGUAUUUAUCCAUUCACCUGUAGGUGAAUGUUUACAUUCGUUUUUGUUUGAACAUAAAGUUUGCAAUUUUCUUAGGAAGACAUCUAGGAAUGAGAUUCCUACUUUGUAAGGUAAGUAUGUAUUUAAUUUUAUAUACAACAGUCUAACUCUUUUCCAAAUUGCCUGUACUAUUUUCCAUUCCCUCCAGCAAAGUAUAGGAAUUCCACUUGCUCAAUAUCCUCACCAGCAAUUCAAAUUCUCAGG